GGACUACCGGGGUAUCUAAUCCUGUUUGCUCCCCACGCUUUCGCGCCUCAGCGUCAGGUAUGAGCCAAGAAGCCGCUUUCGCCACUGGUGUUCCUCCCGAGAUCUACGCAUUUUACCGCUACUCCGGGAAUUCCACUUCUCUCUCUCACCCUCUAGUACGCCAGUUUUCAUUGCGGCCCCCCAGUUAGGCUGGAGGAUUUAACAACAAACUUAACAUACCGCCUACGCGCCCUUUACGCCCAAUAAUUCCGAAUAACGCUUGCACCUCUCGUAUUACCGCGGCUGCUGGCAC
rnacentral:rRNA from 1 species